AGUGAACGCUGGCGGUAGGCCUAACACAUGCAAGUCGAACGGCAGCACAGUAAGAGCUUGCUCUUACGGGUGGCGAGUGGCGGACGGGUGAGGAAUACAUCGGAAUCUACUUUUUCGUGGGGGCUAACGUAGGGAAACUUACGCUAAUACCGCAUACGACCUACGGGUGCAAGCAGGGGAUCUUCGGACCUUGCGCGAUUGAAUGAGCCGAUGUCGGAUUAGCUAGUUGGCGGGGUAAAGGCCCACCAAGGCGACGAUCCGUCGCUGGUCGGAGAGGAUGACCAGCCACACGGGAACGGAGACAGGGUCCAGACCCCUAGGGGAGGCAGCAGUGGGGAAUUUUGGAAAAGGGGGGCAAGCCUGCUCCAGCAAUACCGCGUGGGGAAAGAAGGCUUUCGGUUGGUAAAGCCCGUUUGUUGGGAAAGAAAAGCAGCAGGUGAAUACCCCGAUGUUUUGACGGUACCCAAAUAAUAAGCACCGGCUAACUUCGUG
rnacentral:rRNA from 1 species